rnacentral:lncRNA from 1 species
AGACUGUUAAAAUAACUCACAUGGAGGUGUUGUGACUGAUGAUGACUUUAAUUUUAUCCUUUACCCAGCCCCUCUGAGAAAAAAAAAAUUGGAAUCUAAUUAGGAUGAUGUUUACCUCCAGAUAAAUGACUCUGUAAUUGUGGAGUUUCAGGCUGUGCACUGAAACUGUGUUGUGGACAGGCAGGGCUCUUCCUAAGCAUCCCGGGAUCUCUGACUUGCCCUGAGUAUAGAGGUGAGUCAGUGGGGCACAUAUCGUACCUGUCACCGCAGGAUGUCAUAAUGGAAUAGAAUAUUAGAGUUGGCAGUGACCUUAGAGACCCAGCUAUUGCACAGAUGAAUCCAAGAGGGGGAAAGGCUUUGCCCAUAGGGAACGAACUGGAAACAGAAUCUCUUCCCAAAAGGCUUAGGGAGCUCACCGGCCUCACCCAAGCUCGCAGCAUUGUGCCAGGAAAGGAUGUUCUCGGCUCCGGCCUCUUUCCUCCUCUCCUGGGGACAGAACAUGGAUCCUGGAAGGCAUUGAGGACCCUGUGCUCAGCCCCUGCCCAUCCCUUCCACCACUUAUCUGUCCUGUAGGCACACUGACGCGGCUUUCACAAAAUGGGAGGCUCUGAGAGGGAACAUCUCCCUGGAUCCCCUCUCUUCCAAUGGACCUGUGCUAUGGUCUGAAAGUUUGUGUCUCCUGGAAAUUCAUAUAUUGAGAACUAACCCCAAGGCAAUGGUAUGAGGAGGUGGGGCCCUGGAUAGGUGAUGACGUCAUGAGGGAUCCACCCUCCUGAGUGGGAUUUGUGUCAUUAUAAUAGAGGCCCCAGAGGCUGCCUUGUCCUUUCCACCUCAUGGGACACAGCAAGAAGGAGCCGUCUGUGAACCAGGAAGCAGGCCCUCACCAAACCUGCUGCCAUCUUGAUUUUGGACUUCCAGCUUCCAGAGCUGUAAUAAAGAAA